rnacentral:rRNA from 1 species
CCCUUAGAUGUUCUGGGCUGCACGCGUGCUACAAUGGCGCUUGCAACAAGUCUUGCCAACCCGAUAGGGUGAGCGGAUCUUUGAAGAGGCGUCGUGAUCGGGACAGUUGAUUGCAAUUAUUCGACUCGAACGAGGAAUUCCUUGUAAUCGCGAUUCAUCAUAUCGCGCUGAAUACGUCCCUGCCCUUUGUACACACCGCCCGUCGCUCCUACCGAUUGAGCGAUCCGGUGAAUGUUUUGGACUGGCGUCAGAAGCGGUUCGCUCCUGACGCUACGAAAUUUUGUAAACCUUAUCGCUUAGAGGAAGGAAAAGUCGUAACA